rnacentral:rRNA from 1 species
GAUGAACGCUGGCGGCGUGCCUAAUACAUGCAAGUCGAGCGAACAGACGAGGAGCUUGCUCCUCUGACGUUAGCGGCGGACGGGUGAGUAACACGUGGAUAACCUACCUAUAAGACUGGGAUAACUUCGGGAAACCGGAGCUAAUACCGGAUAAUAUAUUGAACCGCAUGGUUCAAUAGUGAAAGACGGUUUUGCUGUCACUUAUAGAUGGAUCCGCGCCGCAUUAGCUAGUUGGUAAGGUAACGGCUUACCAAGGCAACGAUGCGUAGCCGACCUGAGAGAGAGUGGAGCCACCCGUGACGUAACCACCGGACCAGACUACUGCGUGAGGCAGCAGCAGGUAGUCUGCGGCAAUGGGAGAAGAGUUGAACAAUGAUCGCAUAGGGAAAGAUGAAAGGCGUCGGAACCUAUGAACGUGUUAUCAGUAACGAACAAAAACGUAAGUGACAAUGCCCUUCUUGACGCUGCCUUAGCAGAUAGCCACGGCAACCUCCGUC